CCCUUAGAUGUUCUGGGCUGCACGCGCGCUACACUGAUGCGCUCAACGAGUUUACGAACUUGCCCGGAAGGGUUGGUUAAUCUUUUUAAAACGCAUCGUGAUGGGAAUUCCUAGUAAGCGCGAGUCAUCAGCUCGCACUGAUUACGUCCCUGCCCUUUGUACACACCGCCCGUCGCUCCUACCGAUUGAAUGGUCCGGUGAAUAAUUCGGACUGAUGCAAUAUUCAGCUCCUGGACGUUGCGUUGGAAAGUUUAGUGAACCUUAUCACUUAGAGGAAGGAGAAGUCGUANCA
rnacentral:rRNA from 1 species